GUCGGUUAUGGCGACAUGAAGCCAGUGACGCUGUGGGGAAAGAUCGUGGGCUCACUUUGUGCAAUAUCUGGUGUUCUUACCAUUGCUCUUCCUGUGCCAGUUAUUGUAAGUACU